rnacentral:rRNA from 1 species
AGCAGCCACCUUUUAAAAAGCGUCAAAGCUUAACCUAAUUCCUCUAAAAUACCAUUAACCUUAAUGAACCCCUAAUCUAUAAUGAAUGACCCCAUAUAAAUAUGGAAGACACCAUGCUAGGAUAAGUAACAAGAAUUAAUAAUUCUCCAAAAUGCAAACAUACACCAGCAUGGAUAAACCAUUGGUAAUUACCGAAUCUGAACUUACUGCAACAACACUUACAAGAAAACCAUGCAGUAUUUGCUCGUUAACCUAACACUAGUGCAUUUCAGGAAAGAUUUAAAAAAAGAGAAGGAAUUCGGCAAAUGAAAGCCCCGCCUGUUUACCAAAAACAUCGCCUCUUGAUUUAUGAUAAGAGGUCCAGCCUGCCCAGUGAAUUUUUAACGGCCGCGGUAUCCUAACCGCGCGAAGGUAGCAUAAUCACUUGUUCUUUAAAUGGGGACUCGUAUCAACGGCAUCACGAGGGUUUUACUGUCUCCUCUUUUUGAUCAGUGAAAUUGAUCUUCCCGUGAAGAAGCGGGAAUACUCAUAUAAGACGAGAAGACCCCAUGGAGCUUAAAACCAAAUAGUAACUUAACCACAUAUUUCCUUAUAACUUUAAGCCUAUACUAUGAGGUUUUUGGUUGGGGUGACCGCGGAGUAGAACAUAUCCUCCACGACGGAAAGACUACAAUCUUUAUUUAAGAACCACAGUUCUAAAAAUUAGCAUACUAACGUUUACUGACCCGAUAAUCGAUCAACGGAACAAGUUACCCUGGGGAUAACAGCGCAAUCUACUUCAAGAGCCCAUAUCGACGAGUAGGCUUACGACCUCGAUGUUGGAUCAGGGUAUCCCAGUGGUGCAGCCAUUACUGAAGGUUCGUUUGUUCAACGAUUAAAACCCUACGUGAUCU